rnacentral:rRNA from 1 species
AUGUUAUUUCUUAAUUUCCAAAUAGUCCAUAAAAUGGCAGAGAUCCCUACCACAAGUCCACAACUAGAAUGUUUUCACUCUUAUACUAAAUCUCAACAGCCAAGUGUUGAACAGGCCGUGUACAAUAUCUCAGGCCAUUCGGACGUCAAGAGGAGGCAUUCGGACAACGAUCUCGGCACGCCUGGGCUCCGCGGCGCGUGGCGGCUGCACGUGGCCGCCGGUGAUGCAGCAGUACACCAGCAGCGCAACGGCGGCGACCGCGAGAGCCGACACGCCGACCGCUAUCCAGGCUUUCUCUUCUCCGGUGAGGCCGUGGGCCGGCUCCGGCUGGUGGGUGGAGUGAGGGGGUGGGGGCGGCGGCGGCAGGAGCUGGAAGACCACGUCCGACGGCAGCACCUCGGCUGCGGCGUUGCCGAGCAGCAGGAGCAGGAUGCACAGACGACCCAUCGCCGACACCGCACUGAGCCCCACCUCCAUGACGCUGCUUCUCCCUAG